rnacentral:rRNA from 1 species
UCGAGCGGACAGAAGGGAGCUUGCUCCCGGAUGUUAGCGGCGGACGGGUGAGUAACACGUGGGUAACCUGCCUGUAAGACUGGGAUAACUCCGGGAAACCGGAGCUAAUACCGGAUAGUUCCUUGAACCGCAUGGUUCAAGGAUGAAAGACGGUUUCGGCUGUCACUUACAGAUGGACCCGCGGCGCAUUAGCUAGUUGGUGAGGUAACGGCUCACCAAGGCGACGAUGCGUAGCCGACCUGAGAGGGUGAUCGGCCACACUGGGACUGAGACACGGCCCAGACUCCUACGGGAGGCAGCAGUAGGGAAUCUUCCGCAAUGGACGAAAGUCUGACGGAGCAACGCCGCGUGAGUGAUGAAGGUUUUCGGAUCGUAAAGCUCUGUUGUUAGGGAAGAACAAGUGCAAGAGUAACUGCUUGCACCUUGACGGUACCUAACCAGAAAGCCACGGCUAACUACGUGCCAGCAGCCGCGGUAAUACGUAGGUGGCAAGCGUUGUCCGGAAUUAUUGGGCGUAAAGGGCUCGCAGGCGGUUUCUUAAGUCUGAUGUGAAAGCCCCCGGCUCAACCGGGGAGGGUCAUUGGAAACUGGGAAACUUGAGUGCAGAAGAGGAGAGUGGAAUUCCACGUGUAGCGGUGAAAUGCGUAGAGAUGUGGAGGAACACCAGUGGCGAAGGCGACUCUCUGGUCUGUAACUGACGCUGAGGAGC